GAAAGGUAAACAUUCCUCUAUUAUGGAUUUGUGAAUGUAAACGCGAGCCGUAUCAGUGUCAGUUUGGAUUUAUUCAUCAUUUUCUUUUUAGCCGAACGUCUCAUUUAAAACGAUAUUCACACAUGCACCAAUUUGUUUACGAGCGGGAAAAACGAGGGGACAUGAAGUUUUGAUGUAACGAGUCUGAAAUUAUAGCAGUUUUAUCAUACCCGCACAUGGAUAUUUUUCAGUUCCUCACUGAAGAUGGUACAAAUUCGAAAUGGGUAUGAAUGACAUAUCCAAACCCGCGAGAUAGACGGACCCAUUAAGGGACGUAGUAACAGUUCAAAUUUGAAAUAUAAUUUUUUUUAAAAACAUUACUUAUUUAACUUCUUAACAGCUCCAACAAAAAGAACGAUAAUUAAUAAAUUUAUUUAUUUCACACUUCCACGUAACUUUUAUUUUUUAAUAAAUUGGCUGAAUAGGGCCACGGAAAUUAUUGGAAUCGUUCGUAAAUGGUUUCCGUGCGUUUCGCAAAUAGUGUACAUUCUAUAAAGGAAAAAUGAAGUUUUACCAAUUAAAUAGCACUUCUCGCCAUAAUUAACGUUAACAGGGGAAAAACUAACGUGCAACAAAUUUCCAAAAUAAUUUCUUCACUGAGAAGAUUUCAUAAAGGGCGUUAACGGUAGAGAAAAUUCUGUCAUCACUAUCUUGUAAAUAAGCGAAAAGAAAGAAAAAGAGAAAAAAAAAGACAACGGCAGAAAUUGUCAAAGCUUUGAAGACCCUUACCUCAAAUUAUAAUGAGAUUGGCUGUUCAAAAAAAGCAGAUUUGGUGCAUGGUAUGGUAAGGUAUGGUAAUGAGGAACCAGCUUUUGUGAUUGACUCCUCACUGUGGCAUCAUCUUGCCCUUAGAUUGUCGCUGAAGAAGGAUUUCGCUAAACAUUAG